rnacentral:rRNA from 1 species
AUUGAACGCUGGCGGCAGGCCUAACACAUGCAAGUCGAACGGUAACAGGAAGCAGCUUGCUGCUUCACUGACGAGUGGCGGACGGGUGAGUAAUGUCUGGGAAACUGCCUGAUGGAGGGGGAUAACUACUGGAAACGGUAGCUACUACCGCAUAACGUCGCAAGACCAAAGAGGGGGACCUUAGGGCCUCUUGCCAUCGGAUGUGCCCAGAUGGGAUUAGCUAGUAGGUGGGGUAACGGCUCACCUAGGCGACGAUCCCUAGCUGGUCUGAGAGGAUGACCGGCGACACUGGAGGUGGGACGCAGACCAGGCUCCUACGAGACGCAGCAGUGGGGAAUAUGGGACAGUGGGGGGAAGUCUGAUGCAGCGAGGGGGAGUGUAUUAAGGAGGCGUUCGGUUUGUGAAGUACGUUCAGCGGGGGGGAAGGGAGUAAAGCUGUUACCUAGGCUGAGUGACGGUACUGGCAGAAGAAGCGCCGGCUAACUACGUG